CCCUGGACUGAGAUCGGUCCAGACUCCUACGGGAGGCAGCAGUAGGGAAUAUUGCUCAAUGGGGGAAACCCUGAAGCAGCAACGCCGCGUGGAGGAUGAAGGUUUUAGGAUUGUAAACUCCUUUUGUUAGAGAAGAUAAUGACGGUAUCUAACGAAUAAGCACCGGCUAACUCCGUGCCAGCAGCCGCGGUAAUACGGAGGGUGCAAGCGUUACUCGGAAUCACUGGGCGUAAAGAGCGCGUAGGCGGGAUAGUCACUCAGGUGUGAAAUCUCUAUGGCUUAACCCAUAGAACUGCCAUUUGAAAAUACUAUUUCUAGAGGUGUGGGAGAGGA
rnacentral:rRNA from 1 species